rnacentral:rRNA from 1 species
AACGAACGCUGGCGGCAGGCUUAACACAUGCAAGUCGAACGCCCCGCAAGGGGAGUGGCAGACGGGUGAGUAACGCGUGGGAAUCUACCCAUCCCUACGGAACAACUCCGGGAAACUGGAGCUAAUACCGUAUACGCCCUACGGGGGAAAGAUUUAUCGGGGAUGGAUGAGCCCGCGUUGGAUUAGCUAGUUGGUGGGGUAAAGGCCUACCAAGGCGACGAUCCAUAGCUGGUCUGAGAGGAUGAUCAGCCACAUUGGGACUGAGACACGGCCCAAACUCCUACGGGAGGCAGCAGUGGGGAAUAUUGGACAAUGGGCGCAAGCCUGAUCCAGCCAUGCCGCGUGAGUGAUGAAGGUCUUAGGAUUGUAAAGCUCUUUCACCGGUGAAGAUAAUGACGGUAACCGGAGAAGAAGCCCCGGCUAACUUCGUGCCAGCAGCCGCCGUAAUAC